UUCUGAUAUACAGAUCUACUGCAAGAGAAUGGCUGUAAACCCUUUCAUAACAGAUGGAUGGAUUUUGGGAGCUGCCACCAGAAGCCAGCAAGUAACCCAAGUGGAUGCUUCUAAGUUUUAGCACUAUGGAACCUUGGGGUAUGAUGGUUUUCACUGGAACAUAGAGGCAUUUUCUGGAGGGUGGAAAACACAAAUCAGCAUAGCCAGCUCCUCCCUAUGGUCACCCUACCUUCAGCAGAAGCCUCUCAAGCCC